rnacentral:rRNA from 1 species
UGCAGGCUGCAACUCGCCUGCACGAAGUCGGAAUUGCUAGUAAUCGCGGAUCAGAAUGCCGCGGUGAAUACGUUCCCGGGCCUUGUACACACCGCCCGUCACACCAUGGGAGUCGGUAACACCCGAAGUCGGUGGUCUAACCGCAAGGAGGACGCCGCCGAAGGUGGGAUUGAUGACUGGGGUGAAGUCGUAACAAGGUAUC